rnacentral:rRNA from 1 species
GACGAACGCUGGCGGCGUGCUUAACACAUGCAAGUCGAGCGAGGACCGCACUUUCGGGUGUGGAGCCGAGCGGCGAACGGGUGAGUAACACGUGAGCAACCUGCCCCUGGCACCGGGAUAGCCCCGGGAAACUGGGAUUAAUACCGGAUACGACCACUUCCCGCAUGGGAUGGUGGUGGAAAGGUUCCCCCUUGUGGGGUUCCGGCCAGGGAUGGGCUCGCGGCCCAUCAGCUAGUUGGCGGGGUAACGGCCCACCAAGGCGAUGACGGGUAGCCGGCCUGAGAGGGCGGUCGGCCACACUGGGACUGAGACACGGCCCAGACUCCUACGGGAGGCAGCAGUGGGGAAUCUUGCGCAAUGGGCGGAAGCCUGACGCAGCGACGCCGCGUGGGGGAUGAAGGCCUUCGGGUUGUAAACCUCUUUCAGCAGGGACGAAGUUGACGUGUACCUGCAGAAGAAGCGC